rnacentral:rRNA from 1 species
AAGUAUAAUAGCGGAAACACUUGCCAUAGAAGGUGAAAGCCCUGUAGAGUUUUUCAAUAUAUUUUUAUUUUUGUGCAGUAAAGUAAAAAACGAGUAAAACGAGAAACUAUUCUUGUUUGAAUAAAGGGGGACCACCCUCUAAGCCUAAGUAUUCCUCAAUGACCG